rnacentral:rRNA from 1 species
UACGAAGGGGGCUAGCGUUGUUCGGAAUUACUGGGCGUAAAGCGCACUUAGGCGGAUUAGUAAGUCAGGGGUGAAAUCCCGGGGCUCAACCUCGGAACUGCCUUUGAUACUGCUGAUCUCGAGUCCGGAAGAGGUGAGUGGAAUUCCUAGUGUAGAGGUGAAAUUCGUAGAUAUUAGGAAGAACACCAGUGGCGAAGGCGGCUCACCGGUCCGGUACUGACCGUGAGGUGCGAAAGCGUGGGGAGCAAACAGG